rnacentral:lncRNA from 1 species
UCAAAUGGUCAUAGAGCAUACAUCCAACACACAUGUCAUAUAACCAACCAUGCAUGGCAACCAAACAUAAUCACAUCAUAAACAUUGGACAUAACAUGAAUAGCUAGAGUUACAAACCGUAAUCAAUAUGAGCCACAUCCCAUGGAAAUAUACAUAUAACUUAAUAUAAGCCAAUACAUUUGGCUAAAAUCAUGAUAACACAUACCAUAAAACUAAAUCCCUAUACAUGCCACUCACUUGAAAAUUGCUAACAUACGCUUCAUUAUCCCAAAGAUAAUGACUUGAUAGUGUGAUGCUGCCUCUGACAAUCUCCAACCCCGAGCUAACCUGUCAAAGCUAAAAGAAAUGGAAAUAAGGGAGUAAGCUUCACGCUUAGUAAGUCCAUAUAAAAAUAAUAAGCAAUUUAUCAAUAUGCUUCCACCAAUUCUUACAACAUGUUCUCAAGGUAAUACUCUCAUAAUUGUCUUUUUACCUAUGUUCAGGUCAAGCUUUUUUCUCGAGUCACAGUCACUAAAUUAUUCAUAUCAAGAGCUACAGAACCCCAAAUUAAUAUUUACAAAUUUUACUUGAAACUACACUCACAUAACUUCUUACCAUAAAAUUUUCAGAAUUUUUAGUCUAGCCAAUAAGUAAUUUUGAAUCUUUAAAGUUACCCCUUUCUCGCUAUUUGAUAGUUCCGACCCCCUCUUUACUAAAAAUUAAUUAUCUCAUAAUACGAAACUGGGAUAAUGUUCCCGUCUAUUUCUCUUGAAAAUAGACUCAUCAAGGAUUCUAAGCAUAUAAAUUAUAACCCAUAAUUAUUUUUGUAAAAUUUUCAAUGAUUUUCUCAAAUCAGAACAGGGGAUUUCGAAAUCAUUCUGACUCUGUCUCACAACAAUUCAAAUAUUUCAUAAUAUGAAAAUUCUUUGAUUAUACCGUUUCUUUUAUGUGAAACUAGACUAAUUAAACUUUAAUUUCAUAUUUUAUUCAGCCUCUAACUCAAUUUUCCACAAUUUUUUGGUGGAUUUUCAAAGUCGGACUGCUGCUGCUGUCCAAAACUAUUUUAGUGUAAAUUAAUGAUACUAAGUUUAUCACACUUUAUUAAUUCAUUUUCACCACAUUGGUAAAAAUACAUGUUUAUACAUCAUAAGUAUAGACCUAUAAUCAUAAGGUCAUCACAAAAUCAUUCUCAUAGGCAUGAUUUACCUAUUUACAUCCUCACCAAAUGUGCAUCAUAAACCGAAAUCAUUUCUCAUGAGUUUGGCAUACAUACCUGUGUUACUCAACAUACUCAUAUACUUAUUCAUAUUCAUUCAUUAUUAAUCAUACAACAUGAAUUGAAUUCACAUCUUAUCAAUUUCAUGUAAGUACCUGUACCACUCACAACAUAGCCAUAAGCUCUAUCAUUUCGAUAUAAAUCAUACACCUCCCGUUGAACCAUUUGGAAUACUACAAGAUAUUCAAUAGCCCCAAACAUGGGAUAAGAUGUCGACGCCAUGUCCCAGACAUGGUCUUACACUGGCUAACACAUCAAAGUCGAUGCCAUGUCCCAGACAGGUCUUACACUGACUUUCAUAUAUCGAAGCCAAUGCCAUGUCCCAGACAGGUCUUACACUAGCUUGUAAUCUCGAGGCCCGAUGCAUGUCCUAGAAAUGUCUUACACUAGCUCUCGUCUCAAUGCCGAUGCAUGUUCCAGACAUGUCUUACACUGGCUUGUAUAUCUCGAGGCCGAUGCAUGUCCAAGACAUGUCUUACACUGGCUCUCAUAAUGUGGUCGAUGCAUGUCCCAGACAUGUCUUACACUAGCACACAUAUCACCCAAUGUCAUGGCAUGAAUAUCCAAAUCUAUUCCUCAUGUUUAACCGGAAGUCUUUAUUAUAUAAAAUUCUCAUUCACAAUGCAAAUCAACAAUUCAUACUAUACUAAUCAUAUGAUACAUGAUAACAUUGAAUUUUGCAUUAUUUACGUACAACUUACUUGUUUCAAUGAAAUGUCAUAUUCCAUCAACAUAUAAUUAAAUACAAUCAUAGAAAAAUAUAUUUCAAGUAUAUUAACAAUAACAAGGAAAACAUGUUUAUUUAGUCGCACGGACUUGCAUCGAAUGCAAUUUCGGCUAAUUACUUAAUUUUAGUCCAUAACCUCGUACUUUCCUAUUUAAGCCAAAAUCUCUAUUUUUCUUGAUCUAACAUGAUGAAAUUAACUCAUUUAAUCAUUACAUUAAUUAAAAAAUUCUAUAAUUCAUAAUUUGGCAAAAUGACCGUUUUGCCCUUAGACUUUACAAGAAUUACGAUUUUUCCCUUAGGCUCGUAAAUCGAUUUUUAUUGAAUUUCCUUAUUUACCAAGCCUAGACGAAUUCUUUUUAUAACUAUAGCAACUCAUAGUUUCAAUUAUUUCACACAUUUACAACCUAUUUUACAACUUUACAAAAUAGCCCUUUUUAGGUGCUUUCAUGCAAACUUCUUUCACAAAAGUUGUUUAUUACAUAAACAAGACUCAUUUUCUUCCAUAAAAAAUUCAGAAAACCACAUGAAUACUCUCAUGGAAAAACCCUAGACUUUCAACCAUUUUGCAAAAUAGUCCCCUCAUUAGCUAGAUUAUGCUACAAGGGUCUCAAAAGUACAAAAAUUAUCAAGAAAGGCCAUCAAAAUCACUUACUUGCAAGGGUGAAGAGUGGCUGAUGUUUUUGAGCUUUCAAAACCCCCUCUUUGCUGGUAUUUUCGGUGGAUGAAGAAGAAAGAUGAAAAGAUGACAACUUUUUCCUUUUUGUUUUAUUUUAAUACCAAAUAAGUCACCUAUUACCCACCAAUUUUGACUUUUCAAUUUCUU